UACGUAGGGUGCGAGCGUUGUCCGGAAUUACUGGGCGUAAAGAGCUCGUAGGUGGUUUGUCGCGUUGUUCGUGAAAACUCACAGCUUAACUGUGGGCGUGCGGGCGAUACGGGCAGACUGGAGUACUGCAGGGGAGACUGGAAUUCCUGGUGUAGCUGUGAAAUGCGCAGAUAUCAGGAGGAACACCGGUGGCGAAGGCGGGUCUCUGGGCAACAACUGACGCUGAGGCGCGAAAGCCAGGGGAGCAAACGGG
rnacentral:rRNA from 1 species